CUUCACCGACCCCAGGUACAGGGGCUCCUCACGCCCCUGCCCGUACGUCGCCAGCAGCGCCUGCGCCUC
rnacentral:antisense_RNA from 1 species